ACACUCUCCAAAAGCAAGCAAGAAAGAAAGAAACAAAGAAAAAACGGAUAAACCGG
rnacentral:ribozyme from 11 species